AAACUUUUCGGCUGAUACCUGCAGAGGCGACCUUGUGAAUAUCAUAACGUAAAAAAAACACAAGUUCGGAUCUACGGGUAAGAGCAAAAAAGUA
rnacentral:pre_miRNA from 1 species